GCGGACGUGGCGAAAUGGCAGACGCGCAAGCUUCAGGAGCUUGUGGGAGCAAUCCCGUGAGAGUUCAAGUCUCUCCGUCCGCA
rnacentral:tRNA from 1 species